rnacentral:antisense_RNA from 1 species
UGUGUGCUCGGCUGACUACACGUCCAGCCUCGGGCCAGCUCGAGACGGCCACAUUGCCUGGUUGAAGAUGGCCGCGUGUAAACCAGAAUGCAAGUCAGCUGGGGCACGUACUACUGGAGGCAGAGCCCCAUGAGAAGGGGCCAAGAACCCGCACCCAUCAAAAUCAAGAAGAAAGGCUGAACCCGGAGAGAAAAGGGAGCAACUGAUGUUGCCAUGCAGAUCCCUUGGUUGCUAUGAGAUGGUAACAUCACUCUGCCCCACCAUUGGCCAGUGCCUCCUCAGCUGCGGUGCCUCCCAGGCUGUGUGGUUCUCACGCGGGCCGCUGACACAGAGCUGUUACUAUGGUGAACUUUACAAUUUCCUUUGAUUGGUGGAUUUCAGAAAUAGGCCAUCAGCGGAAUUCAUUAUAUUCAGCUAAGUCAAAAUGAAAAAUAAAUACUAUAACUUUCCCCUCAUCACUAACAUGAAGGAAACGUGACCCUUCAUGACAUAAUAAAUCGCUGUUAGGUAACUUAAGAUCCUUCAGGGGACUGAAGCGGGAUGAUCCUCCUAUGCCAAAUUUGGGUGGGAAAUAUAUCCCCUGUUACUUUGAGUCGACUCUUCAGAGUUAAGGGCAGUGGGCCAACAAGAGUUGGAACUUCAGAGUUGGGAGGAGGUGUGGGAUGGGGCAUGCAUUAAAAUGUAAACUCUAUUGUCUCUGAAGUGAUGGGUGAUGCUGGGGCCCUGAGUGUGGAGGGCAGUUUUACAUCUCAGGACAAUGUUUUCUCAGAUGCUCUUCCAGAAAGGAAAGCCAGGAGUACUCCUGGCUGGAGGCGGCAUGCCUGGGGUCAGAGUCAAAGUAGGGUUUGUGCUGUCUGAAUCCUUUCUCCCACUCUCCCCAGCCUGGCUCAGCUUCUCAUAGGUGGAUUGGUGAGUCCUGGCCAAUUAUGCUUCAGCUCAUCUCUACUCGCGGCAAAUAGGAAAAAGAGAGUGAAGGACUGAGUUUUAACCCUUCUAGUUUCGUAACCUGACUCUCUAUAAGAAAAAGUGGGAGAAAGACUGAAGAACCCGAGAGAAGAG